rnacentral:lncRNA from 1 species
CUUUUGUUACUUCAUUUCCUACCUCUCUUAGGAAAAUGGAAGCAGGAAUAACUUUGGGUGCUGGUCAGAGUUAUAUGGAGGGAAGCCAGUGACUCCUCAGCUCCAUUAUUUCUUUCUUUCUUUUUUUGGGGGGGCACCAGAGAUAGAACUCAGAUCCUUAUGCUUGCGAGGCAGGUAGUGGAACCACUGAGCUAAAUCAUCAGCCCUCAGCUCCUUUAUUUCUAACUGUACUAAGCAGACUGUUUAGCAGAGGAAACCCACAGCCAGGCCAGGAGGAGAGCUAGGCUUCCCGCCUUGUCUUCCUGUGUCUACUCUGCUCCAACCCAGGACGCAGCUGCGGUGAGCGGCACAGUCAGGCUCGGGGCAUCUGCUCUGCGUCACCUGCAGCAGGAACCGCAUCUUUCCCGCAGCAUCUCCAGGGCGGGAGCCGAUGGCCACGGUGAGGACCACCGUGCUGGGCCGUGGACAGGCUGAGGGAGGGGGGAGACCGCGGGGAGGCUCUGGAGGAAGGCCCGGCCCUGGGCACCCUCAGCGGAAGGGGCAGCUCAGGAAGGCCCUAGGUGUGCUUGCUGCUGUGUGCUGGGCCUUGGAGAGGUGAAGACAGAUCAGGAAGACAGUGGGUGCAGUGGGGGAGACCUGGUUUCUGUGGAAGUGUGUGCUGAGAACCUGGGGUCCUCCCUGCCCCCGCCUUGGGGAAACCACAGCCGGGAUCCUUGUCAGGCAGUUCCCUUUCCUGUGAGCUGCUGACGGGACAGCCCUGUGACUGGGAGGCCUGGUCUAGAAGUAAUCACACCCUGUGUGCGGCCUGCCAGGCACUGUGGUCUCCGCAAGCUACACAGCUGGGGCGGGCGUGAGGAGACGCCAUGACCCCCAGCCUCGCAGCCCUGCUCUGCCUGGGGCUGAGUCUGGGCCCCAGGACCCGAGUGCAGGCCGAGGGAAUCCAAGUGCCCUGGGACAGCCAGCAGCCACUGAAGCCCAGGAACAAGGCCAAGUUCUCCAUAGAAUACAUGACAGAGCACUAUGCAGGGCGAUAUCGCUGUUACUACCGAACCCCUGCUGGCUGGUCAGAGCCCAGUGAGCCCCUGGAGCUGGUGGUGACAGGAGUCUACGGCAAACCCAGCCUCUCGGCCCUGCCCAGCCCUGUG